rnacentral:rRNA from 1 species
GCUGGCAUCCAGCUCUCUGCAACUCUCACAUGGUCGCCAACUGAAGCCAAGCAGGGCUGUGCCCGGUCAGUACCUGGAUGGGAGACCACAUGGGAAAGCUAGGUUGCUGCUGGAA